AACUUGUGACGAAACCAGAAGGGCCCUGGUUAGGAACCAGAAGAUGGGGCUCUAGGCUGAGUCUGGCCAAUGCUGGCAGCAGCGCCCAGUGGUUAGAGCAGAGCUCCAGGCUCAGGCAGACUUGAGUCGUAACUCUGAUUCAUUGUGGACUGUUGGUGUGACUUGCGCCAUUUAUUCAACUUUUCUAAGCCUCAUUUUCCCCAUCUGCAAAAGCUCCAAUGUCACGGGCUCACCACUGCCAUUCCAUGAGAGGAAGCGCCUGGUGCCCUCAGUAACUGCAGAGAGCACAGGCCCCAGCCCCUGACCUGCAACGUGAAAUCCCACGGUUUGCAAACCGAAACUAUUUUCAUGACUAAUGUGGUGGCAACAUCUGAACUGGCCUUAUUUGGUGACAAAGCCUGCCCCACGUGAUGUGAUGCUAAUUAUCAUCUUUAGCCUGCUUCUGGGGACGAUUCAUACAUUUUGCUGCAGAAAUAUUACUGUAUUUCAUUAUCAGGUGCUGCCCAGGCUACACUGGGGGUGUGAGAUACUCUUUCAAACUCUGAAAAAUUCCAAAGUUCUGAAUCUGUCUGGCCCAGAAGGCUGCAGACCAGGGAUUGUGUCCCUACAUGAUUUACCCUGGGGAAGUCCCUUCUGGUCUUGGAGCCUCGGUUUCUUUCUCAGACAAUAGAGGAGCUGAACCAGAGACCUCGGAGGUUCCUUUCUGCUCUGUCGUCCCCUGAUGCUAAUUCUAGACAUGCCACCGUCGUUAUUUUGUUCUUUCUUUUAAAUUUAGCAUCGCGACUUCUGAGUCAGGCACUCAGACUCACUAUGCACUUCCUCUGCUUUGGGCUGGAGGCCAAAUGGCAGUGGGGGACGCUCCCAGGUUGGACCUUGAGCCUCUUCAGGCCUUCAGGAACCCAGAGAGGGGAUACAGAGGGCCCCCUGGGAGGGGCCAGCCUCAAUCCACUACCUGGAACAGGGGCAGAGGAAGGAGUAGGGGGGGUCCACCCAGAUAAAAACAGCCCCAAGGAUAAUAAUCCUGUCCUUGGGGGCGGGGGGCGGGGAGGGUGGGGACGGAGCCCCCAGGGCCAGCCUGGAUGCCCAUUCAGACCCUGAGCCAGACAGCCAGGAGGCCAAGGCUUACAGGUGGUGUCCCCAAGGGCCUUGGGAUCUGUGAGGAGUUGCUGAAUCAGAAGACAUGUGAGCCCGAGAGCUCUGUAGUCAUCAAGGCCUGGGGUCAGUGGGACUGGAACUGGUCAGACUGGUGAGGGCCGAAGGCUGGGACCAACCAUCUCCCUCAAGUGAGGAGCCAGAAUAAGCCCUGCAGCCACCAUCCCCACUCUCUUCGCCCAUUCCUCAGCAUCUGCCAUGAAACAGCAGCCACCAAGGGGCAACUGUAAGAUCAAACAAGCCCCUGCUUCUCAGCAAACAGCCCUCAAGCAGCAGCUCCUGUGAGCUCUGCCAGCUGCACGAGGGAGCAGAGGCAGAAGGGAGACUCGGCUGCCCCCCCCCCCCCCCCACCGCCCCGGCAGGUUGGGAGGGCUCAGCCGGACCCAGCGGCAGGUGGAAGAGAGGCGCUUGUCUAGGUGAAUGCUGGCGGGAGUCCUGCCCUUCAUGGAGGUUCCAUUGUCCCAUCUGUACAGGGGAGAUGGAUCGGGCUCCUUCCCAGGGCUGGGGGAGGGAGGCCAGCUCUGUGACUGCCCCGGUGGCCCUCACUGCAGUUCUGGACCUUUCUGUGAGUCACGGGGCCCUUUUGGAACUAGAUGAAAGCUUGGACUUUCCCCCAGAAAAGGGUAACAACUACCAUCACCUCACAGGUUCCGUGAGAGCCCCGAAGGCAGCUGGGGUAUGGGAACUACCCAGUGCAUGCAGUAGACGCCCUGGGCUGGAAGCCUGGCCUCAGGCUCGGAGAGCUUCCUGAGGAAAAGAAUGGAAUAUCAUUUGGCCAUGAAAAGGAACAAAAUGUUUUUACAUGAUAUGACACGGGUGAACCUUGAGAGUAUAUGCUAAGUGAAAGAAGACAAUCUCAAAAGGCCACACGUUGUAGGAGUUCAGGCAAAUUCAUACGGACAGAAAGGAGAGUUUGAGGCUGCCAGGGGCUGUGGCGAGCAGGGAAUGAACAGCAACUGCUAACAGCUGGGGAAAGUGUUCUGGCACUAGCAUGAGGAUCCCACUCUGAAAAGGUAUGACAGAUGGUUUCUAAUUUUUGUCUGCUUGAAAUGUUGCCAUUCCAUCCUAUCCCCCAACCCAUGUUAUUUAAAUCAUUUCAGUUCUAAUCACCCUACCCAUCAAUUGAAGGGUUUCUUUUAUUAUUUUGCACUCACCGAUGAAAUGUAGGCAAAAGUUAUUAGUUAUUAGAAAUUGGCUGGGGAACAGGAUAUGCACACGGGCUUGCUUCCCGGGGAAGGUGGGACCAGGAGCCCCACAGGGGCCACCCAGAGGCCGGGAGGAGAACUGCAGGCUAUUUUUAAAAUUCAGUCUGGAAAAGUACUUCACAUCUAACAAAUGAUUGACUUUUAAUGCACUGGCUUGCUACAAGCCGAUUUCCUUUGUCAUCCUUUAAAAAGACCUGCUCUUCACUUUAAAACUUCAAAUCUCCAGAAGAUUUGACAUCCUGCUCUGGUAUCAGUUGAUAUAGAGUAUCUCAUCUCCUGUAGUCAAAAAGUUCAUCUGUAUGUUGACCCUAACUCCCAUCAUAUUAAUCCCAGUGCGGACGGUGAAUGUCUUCACCUGGACAGAGUUUUCUCACAGAGAUGCAUCACAGCUGCCACCAGAUCUUGGAGACUAUUUUUUUUUUCCAGCAGGAUAAUCGUGCCUGUGCAAACAACUGUUCAAUGCCUGCUCACUCAUAAUUAGAGCUCAAAAAACAAAAACAAAAACAAAAACAAAAAGAUUAAAAAAAAAAAAUUCCAAACCAGUACAUUCCCAGUCCGAUGAACUCAAAUCAAUUCAACAUGAAAUACAGGAGUGGGGACAUAAUUAAUAAACCAUGACUGGGGUGAAGGACAGUUUUGAUCUCGGCCACUCUGAAAACCUCCAGGCAAAUUGAUGACCAGCCUGGGGUCCUGGUUCUGUGAUGUGGGGUCAGGGUAUUGCAGAGAUGAAAAAAGGUGAUGAAAUCUAAUGGGAAAAAAAAAUGAAAACAGCCUAUUUGACAAGAAACUGAUUUUAAAAAGCAGUAGCUCCUACUUUACAUUUUUUUUUUUUUUAAGAUAUAAAAACUGCAGAGGCCAAACAAGGCAGGCUCCACACCACUGCACUUCCUGGGGUCAAAUGGACAUAUUAACAAAGGCAGCGUCUUUGGGAGGAAGGACUGUGGCUCUGGAAUCUAGAACCACUAGGGUUUAAAUCCCAGCUAUGGCACCUCCUAGCUCCAGGGCUUCAGGAAAGCUGCCUAACCUCUCUGAGCCUCACUGACCCCAUCUGCAGUAUGGAUAUGAUAAACGCCCUCUUCAAAGCUUAGAAAACACAGCUCCAAGUGCAGAGCUGGGAUGUGGACCCUCAACUGCCUGACUCAACAGCCAUGGGAUGAACUGAAGAUACGCCUCCUGGAGUGAAACGCUCUCUAUCCCCAAAGAAACGUGUGUCUGGCAAAAUGUAUCCUCUAAUAGACAAAACGUGCCCCUGAGCAUGCUAGGAGAAGGUGAGUGUGGGGCUCUAAAGUCCCCACAGGACAGAAGAUACCUAAGAGGUAAGAGGUACUGUAGUGUAGUAAGACCCUAUUUCAGAAACUGGGGACAGUAGCCAGGCUGGGGUAGAAAGAAGCGCCAGCAAGGGCAGGGGGGUGCGGUGGUGGACUUCAGGCUGCAGGGAGGGAGAAGAGGUUUCUGGUGACUGCACAGAGCACACAGAGCCUAGAAGCAGCCCUGGCCACAGUUCCCAGGAGCUCAGGCAGUCAGGUCCCGGGAGUCUGUGGGAGACAAGCUAAGAGGAGCCAGCAGCCUGGAGGAUGGAGAUUUAAAUACACACAUGUAUACACCUGUGCACGCAAGCAUGCACACACACGCCAAGAGCUAUGUGGCCAAGUACUCCUUCUGUGCCUAUCUACUCCCAAGCUCCAAAAUGCAGGAAAGGAGUCUGGCCUUCCAAGUAAGAACGUGCUAAUGAGCCACAGUAAAGACAGGGGGCCCAGACCAGAAGGUGGGGAAAGGAGGCAGCCAACCUCUUCUACCCAUCUGAGUGGAGGUAGCAGAAAUGCUAGCAUUGUCAGAAACAAGCAUAGGAGGAUGGGGCAGAAGUCACAGGGAGGCUGAUGGAAUAGUCAGAGGUGCCCAAAAAGAGGAGAGGCUGUACUCAGGAGACGUGACUGAGCUCACCAUCCCUGAAGGUAAUCAAGCAGAGGCCAGCCCAUCCUUAUUAUCAUAAAGGGAUUCCAGUCUCAGGUGGGUGUCUGGGCUGCUUCACUGCUCCAGCCAUUUCCAAUUUGAGAUUCUGAGUCCGGACCCUUGUGUGAUGGCAAGGAGGGAUGCAGC